rnacentral:rRNA from 1 species
AUUGAACGCUGGCGGCAGGCCUAACACAUGCAAGUCGAGCGGAUGAGUGGAGCUUGCUCCAUGAUUCAGCGGCGGACGGGUGAGUAAUGCCUAGGAAUCUGCCUGGUAGUGGGGGACAACGUUUCGAAAGGAACGCUAAUACCGCAUACGUCCUACGGGAGAAAGUGGGGGAUCUUCGGACCUCACGCCAUCAGAUGAGCCGAGGUCGGAUUAGCUAUUUGGUGAGGUAAAGGCUCAACAAGGGGACGAUCCGUAACUGGUCUGAGAGGAUGAUCAGUCACACUGGAACUGAGACACGGUCCAGACUCCUACGGGAGGCAGCAGUGGGGAAUAUUGGACAAUGGGCGAAAGCCUGAUCCAGCCAUGCCGCGUGUGUAAAGAAGGUCUUCGGAUUGUAAAGCACUUUAAGUUGGGAGGAAGGGCAGUAAGUUAAUACCUUGCUGUUUUGACGUUACCAACAGAAUAAGCACCGGCUAACUUCGUGCCAGCCGCCGCGGUAACAC